UUAGGUUAAGUUAUAAAGGGCGCAUGGUGAAUGCCUUGGUACUAGGAGCCGAUGAAGGACGGGACUAACACCGAUAUGCUUCGGGGAGCGGUAAGUACGCUUUGAUCCGGAGAUUUCCGAAUGGGGCAACCCAAUCAGCUUAGUCGCUGAUUACUUGACUAGUGAAUACAUAGCUAGCAAGAGGUAGACGCAGUGAACUGAAACAUCUUAGUAGCUGCAGGAAGAGAAAGAAACAUCGAUUCCCUGAGUAGCGGCGAGCGAAAAGGGAAGAGCCCAAACCAACAAGCUUGCUUGUUGGGGUUGUAGGACUGAACAUUAGAGUUACCAAAGUGCGACGUAGUCGCAACAGUUGGGAAGCUGUGCCAUAGAGGGUGAAAGCCCCGUAGACGAAACGUCACACUCUCUGUUCAGGAUCCUGAGUACGGCGGGACACGUGAAACCCCGUCGGAACCCGCGAGGACCAUCUCGCAAGGCUAAAUACUCCCUAGUGACCGAUAGUGAACCAGUACCGUGAGGGAAAGGUGAAAAGCACCCCGGAAGGGGAGUGAAAUAGUUCCUGAAACCAUGUGCCUACAAGCUGUCGGAGCCCGUUAAUGGGUGACGGCGUGCCUCUUGCAGAAUGAACCGGCGAGUUACGAUUGCAUGCAAGGUUAAGGUGGAAAAACCGGAGCCGUAGCGAAAGCGAGUCUUAAAUGGGCGUAAGAAGUAUGUAGUUGUAGACCCGAAACCAGGUGACCUACCCAUGUCCAGGUUGAAGGUGCGGUAAAGCGCACUGGAGGACCGAACCCGUGUCAGUUGAAAAUGGCUGGGAUGAGGUGUGGGUAGCGGUGAAAUUCCAAACGAACUUGGAGAUAGCUGGUUCUCUCCGAAAUCUCUUUAGGGGGAGCCUUGAGGUAAAGAAUCGUGGAGGUAGAGCUACUGUUUGGACAAGGGGCCCGUCAUGGGUUACCAACUUCAGAUAAACUCCGAAUGCCAUCGAUUUAUACUCAGGAGUCAGACGAUGAGUGAUAAGAUCCACCGUCGAAAGGGGAACAGCCCAGAUCACCAGUUAAGGUCCCUAAAUAUAUGCUAAGUGGAAAAGGAUGUGGAGUUGCAUAGACAACUAGGAUGUUGGCUUAGAAGCAGCCACCAUUUAAAGAGUGCGUAAUAGCUCACUAGUCGAGUGAUUCUGCGCCGAAAAUGUACCGGGGCUAAGCAUAUUACCGAAACUGUGGAUGUGCACUAUGUGCACGUGAUAGGAGAGCGUUCUAAGGGCGGCGAAGUCAGACCGUGAGGACUGGUGGAGCGCUUAGAAGUGAGAAUGCCGGUAUGAGUAGCGAAAGACAGGUGAGAAUCCUGUCCACCGAAUGACUAAGG
rnacentral:rRNA from 1 species